GGGGGCGAAACGGCUUCGACGGGGAUAUAUAAGCACGGGCUGCAUGCCGAGGUUUCCAUCAGCCUCGUUAAACCGGUGGAAAUAAAUAUAGUCGCAGACGACUAUGACUACGCAGUAGCCGCCUAAACAGCGAGCGCUGCCGUCCUGCCUUGCUGCUCCUGCGAGCCUGGUAAAGGGCGUCGACUAGCGGGAUAGCUUCCGGGCAAGCCUGAGUCCCGACGGCGAAACCAAUCAGGAUAGUGUCGCGGAUUUCUCGCCUUGGUGGAAAAACCGGCACGAUAAAUCAACUCUCCAGGGCUAAGCAUGUAGGCGCCUGCAGCGGCGUAUUUUCGGACCCGGGUUCAACUCCCGGCGCCUCCACCA
rnacentral:tmRNA from 1 species